rnacentral:lncRNA from 1 species
GUUCAAGCGGCCGCAGAGCGGCCCAGAGUUCGCAGGUCUGGGGCUCUCUUCCCAGAGAGCUCGUAGGGGAGGACAGUCAAGGGACUCAAGCGUCUCUCUUGACUCCCCUUCUCUCGCUGUGCAGUGGCGGCGCCGAGGGGUCGACGCUCAGGGCUAAUCUCUAUGAGUCACCCUCGAGGCCCCGGGUAAUAUUGGGUGGAUCACAAGAACUAAUCUUUCAUGAUUUGGAAACCGGAAGGAAAGAAGCACUUUUGUAGCUGACUUACCUCAAUGACAUGACCAGUGUCUGAGCCUACAACUGCGCUAUCUUCCCUGGAUUUUUCUUCACCUUUUCCUUACUCAUGAGCCAGAACUGCAUGUCCAAGGAGCUAUACAUUUGCUAGAAGGGGAUGACCAAUUCAGCUCUGAGUUUCCUGGGAGCCAAAGCCAAGAGCUCCAUGUCCACAAGAUCGAAGACCAAGUACUCAGAAGAACAGCUUUUCCUGAUACUAGGAGUUAAGAGAAGCUUUCUCCAGGAACUCUCAUAGAGACAACUUGCAUGAUGCAGUGGACAGCACCCUUAGCAUGCUCCACAAGGGUCAUUCUGCAGUCUCUUUCAGCACUGGAUAACGGCACUCUGUCUCAAAAGUAGACUCUAAGUAAGUUGAUAGCAUCCUUAGACUCUGUCCUAAUAUUACCAAGAACACAAUUUAGCAUAUGUGCCCCCCUCAAUGGGGACCCUCCUACCAUCCUGCAAGAAAUCCUCUGUGAAACUAGACUUUGGGUGAGAACAGACAACAGGGAGUUGGAGGCUUCAUUCUCUGGCACCAGUUAGCCUGGUGGGGAGAAUUUCCGCAUGCCUGGCGGUGCAGUUGAGAUAAUCCACAAAGCUGAAGGCAGGGUCAACAACCUCCCAUGCCAUGCAAGUUAAGGACACCUAGGCAAGUGCGUGUAUGCCUGAGGGCAGGACCAACACAUUUCCCAGGAAACCACACAGCACAGACUGGUUAAGAAUGUGAGCUGUUUGGCGCUGGAUCAUGCCUGUAAUCCCAGCACUUUGGGAGGCCAAGGCUGGUGGAUUACUUGAGGUCAGGAGUUUGAGACCAGCCUGACCAAUAUGAUGAAACCCUCUCUCUACUAAAAAUACAAAAAUUAGCUGGACGUGGUGGUGCGUGCCUGUAAUCCCAGCUACUCGGGAGGCUGAGGCAAGAGAAUCACUUGAACCCAGGAGGCGGAGGUUGCAGUGAGCCAAGAUUGUGCCAUUGCAUCCCAGCCUGGGCGACAGAGUGAGACUCUAUCUCAAAAGAAGAAAAAGAGUGUGGGCUAUGAGGUCACGAAAUUUGGAUUAAAAUCCCGGUUUUAUCACUUUCUAGGUAUUUGACCUUGGGUAAGUUUCCUCAGAUAUAAAAGGAGGAUAGUAGCAGUAGCUCACUUAUGGGGUUGCUGAAAAAAAUAAAUACAAUAAUGUGGUAAACCAUUAAGGACAAAUACCUAGUACAAAAUAACGCUCACAGAACAUUGGGAAUUAUUGAUAACAUUAUUGUAAUAUUUAAAAAUAAAUGAAAAAUUAAUAGGCACACAUUUAAACACAUGGAAAAUGGACAUUUGGAACUCUAGAGUUUUCUGCCAUAAAACAUGGCUACAAUAAUUUAAGUCUAGAAAAAUGUGGAAGGGGGAAUAACUAUCCAAUAAAGGGGGAAUAAUUAUCCAAUAAAAUCCUCCCAAACACCCAUAAAUAUUACUUCCUGCAAAAUCAUUCAAGAAGUAUUUGCUACACAAUGUAACAGAAAACAAGUGAUUUGAUUCUACUUAAUAUAUCUUUGACAAUAAAUUGAUUAAGUCUUGGGUGAAAUUUAUGGAAAAUAAUUUUUUUUUAGGAGAAUUGCUGUUCAGCCAUUCUUACUGAUAAUAGUCAACAGGGCCAUCUAUCUGAUAAGCUCAUUUCUAGUUCACAGCAUUGACCCAUCCACAGAGUGGAGAAUUGUGCCCUUUCAUUCUCUAGAGUGGUUAAUGAUGUCAGGAGUUGUAUUUUUGACUCAAUAAAGUGAAAAUAUUUACUUUUAAAAUAAUUACCACCUGAGAGUGUCAUUGUCUCUGUGAAAUGAAAAUAAAAUCUCGGGACCCCCAAUUCACUAUGCCAAAAGGGAGAAGUUUGGAAGCUGAGUCACAACCCCCUCCUCCCUGUCCCCCAAAACUGCCUUUCCUUCUUUUGUUCCUAAACUGAUAGCUACAGAUAGAAGGCCACAUGUCUUCACAGCUUCCGUCACCCUCACAAUGUAAAUUAAUAGCUUAUCUUCAUGGGUUACAGGACAAGAGGAGACUAGAAAUUGUCCCCUCACCCACCUGAAAAUAAAUGCAUAUUUGACUGCUUCCUCUCUUCUGUUUACUUUUACUUUAUCUUAUGUAAAGCACAGAUUUACUGAGUGCAAGAUGAAUACAUAGUUGACCAUUCCCUUUACCCCUCCUUUUCAUGUGCAAUGGGCAGAUUCACAAGAAUGUCACCAAACCCUUCCUCUUUCCCUCCAUCUAUUUCCGCUCCUGCCCACUUUUCCCCUUUAAAUAUUGAAACCCUCAAAAUCCUGUUUGGAAAAAGUGUGAGCCACAGAUCCUACUGUGGUUUCUGUCUCUUUUUUUCUGGGUGCAUCCUAAAUCUUGGCCGAAAAAAAAACCCUCUAAAAUGAUUGAGACUCACUUCAGUCAUUUUCUUUGAUUUAUGUCUCUAUCUAGAUAUGGUUUUAUUGACGACCACAGUUCUCCCAAUGAUUCAGUUUUAAGAUGCAGGAUCUAUUGCAGUGGCUCACACCUGUAAUCCCAGCAGUUUGGGAGGCCAAGGCGGGUGGAUCGCCUGAGGUCAGGAGUUCGAGACCAGUCUGGCCAACAUGGUGAAACCCCCGUCUCUACUAAAAAUACAAAAAAAAAAAAAAAAAAAUUAGCUGGGUGUGGUGGCGUGCACUUGUAAUCCCAGCUACUCAGGAGGCUGAGGCGGGGAAUUGCUUGAACCAGGGAGGUGAAUGUUGCAGUGAGCCAAGAUCAUGCCACUGUACUCCAGCCUGGGUGACAGAGUAAGACUCUGUCUCAAAAAAAAAAAAAAAAAAUCAGCAAACCAGGGGUCUAUACUGAACUCAAGCUGCAGAGACGAGUGUCUCUCAAACUUGAGUAACACAUGGAGCCCUUUUUUUUUUUUUUUUUUUUGGAGAUGGAGUCUCACUCUGUUGCCCCAGGCUGGAGUGCAGUGGUGCAAUCUUGGCUCACUGCAAGCUCUGCCUCCCGGGUUCAUGCCAUUCUCCUGCCUCAGUCUCCCAAGUAGCUGGGACUACAGGCGCCCGCCACCACUCCCGGCUAAUUUUUUUGUAUUUUUAGUAGAGAUGGGGUUUCACUGUGUUAGCCAGGAUGGUCUCGAUCUCCUGACCUGUGAUCCACCCGCCUCGGCCUCCCAAAGUGCUGGGAUUACAGGCGUGAGCCACUAUGCCUGGCCUACAUGGAGCCCUUUUAAAGAAAAAAAUUGUCAUGGGUCCCAAGAAUAUAUCUGUAGACCCUAGUUUGAAAAUCAGUGGCUUAAUCCAUGGUCAAUUUUUUACAGAGUCAAAGGCUACGGGAAUAUCUGUGAAAACUUCAAACAGCCAUAGUCACAAAGUUAUAGAGACUAUGUCAAUCAGUUCUGAAAUAGCCGUAUCUAAAUCCUCCCUGUUCCUCAUGAAAAAUAUUGUCCUGAGAAAUCUAUGCUUCCAAUUUCCUUCAUUUGUUCACCCCAUUUUUAUUGUGUGCUAAAUCUGUGCCAGGUAUUGUGCUAGGCACUGGAGUUACAUGUUAAGCCACACAGCUAUAGUUCUAUUCUCAUGGAGCUUUCAGUCUAUAAUGGGGAAUAUUACUUAAUAAUAUUACUUAAUAAGUAAUCAACAGUGUGACAAGGGUCAGAAAAGGAUGGUCUUGGAGUGGAAUGGAAACCUGUAUAGUAGAGAGACCUAUGUAUGGGUCAGGAAACUUCUCAAAGAGGAAACUGGUAUAAGGUUUAAAGGGCAUCCAAUAUAUUAUCGAGACUUUAAUUUGGCAGAGAAGAGGACUACACUUUUAAAGGGAGAAUUUGGUGGAAUCCAUCUGGAAGGACUGUAUCCACGCAAACAUGCUGGAGAUGAUGGGAGCUGAUAGAUACAAUGGCUUUAAAGUGAUUCUUGUAGAACAUGGGGCUCCCUGUUUCACCCUGCAGGACCCAUGUGGGCAGAGAGGAGAGUUCUCACCUGGAGUUCAGCAUGGUGGACUUGGGCUGCAGCCGUGGCCACCUGGUCCUCCAGAUCCGCCAGAUGGGUCUCAUCAGUGCCACUGUGGAUGCAGCGGGCGGCAUCUUCUAGCUCAGUCAGCUGGGUCUCCAGUCCAUACACAGUGCCUGCUGCCAGGUAUACCUGUAGAGACAGUGCUACAUUUGAGUUCAUGUCUGCAGACUUGGGACUGGUUGGGGGUCCCUUGAGGGGACCCCAGCAAUUCAGGGGAGUGAGAUAACUGGACUUCACAUUGCAGGGGGGAUGUUAUUUUUAUAACAUUUAUAAACGUUCUUCACACUUAAAUGUGUGAGGUCUUGACACCCCUCACUGUCAACCACACCUUCCCUCUCCCACAAACUUUCCUGUAAGAAAAAGCAUUUCAAAGUUGCUUUUGUUCAAAUAGUACAAAAUACAUGACAUCAGCUAUGCGAAUUGUGUAUUGGUCCAGUGACUAUAAAAAUGACUAUAAAGAAGAAACAAAGAGACUCAUGAUGGAGUUUUGCCAAUACAAUUUUUGGUUGGCAUUUAGUAAUUGAGAAAAAAAUCAGAAAACAAGAAAGAGGGGAAAUAAUUUAAAAUAAUUACAAAUUUUGAGUGAAUUCUCUCUGAUUAAUUAGCUUCUGCAUGCUUCAACGAGGUUAAGGGAAUUAAAAUAAACCUGAAGUUUGUAAUAGAAAAAUAUUUCUUAGAAAAUAGUGUGAUGUUAAGAGAAGCAUGUAUCUAUUUAUCUGUCAAUUAGGACAAUUGUUGAGAGCUGUUAAAAAUAAGAGAGCAAGUCUGAUAAAGAAAUUUAAGAAAAAGAAACAUUUUUUACUUACAGGUUUAUAAGGUUAUUCCCAUAAAAGUGAGCAAGGUGAAAUCCUUGAAAUAAUUCAGACUAAGGGAUGUGGGCCAGGGUGAAUGAAACAAAUACCCCCCCAUCCUAAUCAAUACUGUGAUGAAGCAACCAACAACAUAAGAAAUGAGAUGUAUCUAAAGAAAGUAAUUACUUAAAGAGAGGUUCUUGAGGUUUAAUCAACAUAUAUAAAAUCCUAAACCUGUAAUCACAGCAAUUUAGAGUUGAUUUGAAUGAAACAUAUGGCCAAGACUUUAACAGUUUCCUUAAUUUGAGUUAAAAAUAUAGCAGAGUUGAAGAUGAGUCAAGAGCUCAGGUACACUAGUCAUGCACUUUUUUUUUUUUUUUUUUACACUUAGUGAUGCUGUGUUGGUGAGGGAAAGAAGCCUGAGAUGUUCCCACUCUGUCAAUUCCUUGGCAUGAUUCACUCAUCUGUUUUAAAACUGGCAAUUUUACAAAACAUUUCAAGGUGGAGCAAAGGCAGGUACAGGUUUGAUGAAAGCAAAUUUGCGCAUCAUCAUCAGGCAUAAUUACCUGGGCUGUGGGAGCUUUCAGCAGUGACUGGUACAGAAGAUGUCACAUCAAAUGAUUCACCAGUCAUACAGGGGCCAUGAAUCAAAUGUCUGAUGGGAAUUGCCACACUUCAGUUUAUCUUUUGUUUUAUAUUUCUUUAUUAUAUGCUGAAUAUGUAAUUCUGUUUCAUACAGAGAAAUUCUGUUUCUAAGAGAUCUUCACAAUUUAAUCUUAGCCAUUUAUUUUUGUUUUUAAAGCAAGAAAUGAUUAUUGUCAAAUGAAAGAAAUGAUAAGUAUUUCAAAGGUAUUUGAGUGAAGAAAUUAUUCAAAUAAUGUAUCACAAAAUUUCUCAAGUUGAAAAACUUCCCUUUAGAGGGUAAAAAAAUAAUUGGGGGUGGGGAAAAGGGGGAGAAACAGAGAGAGAGGUUUGAAGUUUAUCAUACUUUUUUAAUACUUUUCCCUAUCUACACCAAAAAAGUAAAUUUAUUUUAAUAAGAUAAUUUAAAAUAUAAAUCUACAGUUUUACACAAUGAGACAACAUUUGGAGUUAUUUAAGUGAAACGAAAUAAUUUAAGCAUGGCAGUGGUUAAACAUAACUUGACAUAACUAAGGUCUUGGAACCUUGAUUUUAGCAGAAACACGCAAAACUCAAUGUCAUCACACCCUGGGAUGUGCAUCAACCUGAUUGCUAUUUACAUCUUCAACAUGUUCAUUCACUAAUCUUCCUUUUUUUUUUUUUUUUUCCUGCCAAGACAAAGCAAGAUGAAAAAGCUCCAAGCCCUCAGCAAGGCCAGAAUGUUCAUGUUUUACUCUGUGUUCACUAAAAGCCUACUUUCCUGGCACCAGGAGGCAGAAGAGAUUUAGUGGUUUAGCACUGAUACCAGCUGAACAGGAAUUUACAGCCAAAGUGAUGGUGCCUAAAGGACUGGAGGAGGAUAAUGAUGAUGAUGGUGGGGAUGAUGAUGAUGAUGAUGAUGACAGCAUUAAUUUAUUGAGCCAGUGGCUAAGCCAAGGGUUUUAUGUGACUUAUAUAUGCUCAUAGCAACCCUUGAGGUAGAGACUAUUAUAAUCACUGUGUUCAAGAUGAGAAUUUUUUUGCUCUAGGAAGGUUUAGUGACUUUCUGAGGUCUCACAGCUGGGGACUGGUGGAGCCUAGAAGUGAUCUCAGGAGGGCUGAAGCUAGUUCCCUUGCCUUUAUCCUCCUUGCCCUAUGAUGCUGUGAUAAUCUCAGUUGGAAUGUUAUAACAUUUUGCAUUUCAGAUUUUAACAUAAAGGUACUAGAGUUACUAUGGUUAUAGAUGGAUAUGAUAUUGGCUCUGUGGCUGGCUUGAAAUAACAAAAGGUAACAUGCUAUAUGAUGAAAAUGUUAUUCUAGCUUUAUAAAACAUAACCCAUUUGAAAAAUAUUCACUUGGACUUGCUUGGCAAGUUAAGGUCCACUUUUGGUGAGAACUGUGGUUACCAUGUCUGAGUAAUCUAUGACCCCUUCAAACUCUAGUCAUUGAUGCCUGUGAUUGCAUUCACUGGCUCUUGGUUCAACAAGGCUUUCUCAGAGUGGUUCAAGGCAUAAGAAUAGGUGUUUCCUUAAUGAAACACCUAUUUGUGAUUAAAUUCUCUAGAAUAAAGAGUGUUAAACAGAUUUCUUUACUGCAGGUCUUCACAGAGGCUUUAAUGUACUAAUAUGUAUCUCAAUUUUCCUAGAAAGAGUGUGCAAGCUUCCCAGACUUAUUUGACCUUAGAGCAUCUUGUUGGAUGUGGCUUCCAUGAAUUAUACUUUAGGGGACUAAUGUAUUUCUUUCCUUGCUCUCUGAGGGCACAGAACCACCUGAGUAACCAUGGUUGUCUCCACAAGUUCUAGUGCUACAUCCUCUUUAGUGCUGUAAGGGUUGUAGGAGAACUUUAAGAAAGAGGACCAACAUCCUCUGCAUGGAUCUGGAUUCAGUGGCAGAGCUGGGCUCCCUGUAGUGCAGGUCUACUGUGUCUGCUGCCACUGGUUGUAUACUCCAUGGGCAAUGUGGGGUGGAGCUAAAAGGGAAGUUGGGUUUGCUCUCCAUUCCCUCUGAGGCUGGGGAUUAUGGGUUACUUACAACCCUGCAUACAUCCUCAAGGUGGCAGUCCUACUAUUCACACCACAGGUCUGAGAAUGCUAUGCUAGUCCUUCUCUGUUGACCUUCUAGGGCCAUUUUCUAUCCUUCUUUGUCCUGCCCUGUUCCCUGGGAGGCCGACCAAUUUGGACUUCAUCACCAGGGCUUCCUGGCUGUCUGGGAUGGGUUUGACCAGUGGAGAUACCACUGUCUAGGGCUGGUAACAGCUUCCUUUUAUUGCUACUGUUCCACCCUCAGCAUCCCUUAACCUUGCCCACACCUGAGUUAACAGCCCCUUUCAUGAAACUCUCCUCUUCCAGCCAGACCCCAAUAGGUACAGUGGAGCUCUUCACAGCAAGAAUUUAAAAUACCUACAGACCAAGGCAUUCAGCCCAAGGAACUGAGCCCCCAUUGCGUGCUGCUGUGGAGGGUGGGAUUAGUCCUAGGUUGUUUCUGCCUUUAGGGGAGACAAGAGCUGAUUUCACAGCACUAAUGCCAGAUAGCAGGUGAGGAGUGUCAAAGCUGAGAGACAAGAUAAUUCUCAAAUACCCAUGCCCUCUUUUUUAAGCCCAUCGGAAAAGCGCAGUAUUCGGGUGGGAGUGACCCGAUUUUCCAGGUGCCGUCUGUCACCACUUUCUUUGACUAGGAAAGGGAACUCCCUGACCCCUUGCGCUUCCCGAGUGAGGCAAUGCCUCGCCCUGCUUCAGCUCGUGCACAGUGUGCGCACCCACUGACCUGCGCCCACUGUCUGGCACUCCCUAGUGAGAUGAACCCGGUACCUCAGACGGAAAUGCAGAAAUCACCCGUCUUCUGCAUCGCUCACGCUGGGAGCUGUAGACCCAAGGCUACAGUAACCAAAACAGCAUGGUACUGGUACCAAAACAGAGAUAUAGAUCAAUGGAACACAACAGAGCCCUCAGAAAUAAUGCCGCAUAUCUACAACUAUCUGAUCUUUGACAAACCUGAGAAAAACAAGCAAUGGGGAAAGGAUUCCUUAUUUAAUAAAUGG